AAUUAUUUAUUUUUGUAAGAGAAUCUAAUUUAUUCAUAAAAUUAUAUUUUUAAGAAGAUAUUAGCACAAUAAAUUAUCAAAAAUACCUUCUAUAAAUAUAAAAAUAUACCACUUAUCACUGCUCAAGUGUAUUAUACUCUUUUUCCAUCAAAAAAAAGAAGAAAAGAUUGGUAGGCUGUAUGCAAAAUUAAGUCUCAAGCCGUUCAUUAUGCACUCAAAGAAGAAGAAGAGCACCAAUUACUAGAAUGCUUUCAAGAGGAUGAGAUAGUAGGAGUUCAUCAAUCAUUCGAUGAUGUGGAAUUGGAUACUCCAAAAAUUCUCCUAUGUGAAGAUGGCCAACUUGAAUAGGUAGAUCCAACUG
rnacentral:lncRNA from 1 species